rnacentral:snoRNA from 1 species
AAGGUAAAUUUUAGAUCACAUAUAUUUUACCAAAUCAAAAAAAAAAAAUUUCCUGCCAUGUUAAUGAGCCUUAAAGACACUGAACUCAUUAGGGUCCCUGAAUAUGGCUACAAGA